rnacentral:rRNA from 1 species
GGGAUUACCUCAGUAACGGCGAGUGAAGCGGUAACAGCUCAAAUUUGAAAUCUGGCCCUUUCAGGGUCCGAGUUGUAAUUUGUAGAAGAUGCUUUGGGCAUUGCUCCGGUCUAAGUUCCUUGGAACAGGACGUCAUAGAGGGUGAGAAUCCCGUAUGUGACUGGUGGCAUUUGUCCGUGUAAAGCUCUUUCGACGAGUCGAGUUGUUUGGGAAUGCAGCUCAAAAUGGGUGGUAUAUUUCAUCUAAAGCUAAAUAUUGGCCAGAGACCGAUAGCGCACAAGUAGAGUGAUCGAAAGAUGAAAAGCACUUUGGAAAGAGAGUUAAACAGUACGUGAAAUUGUUGAAAGGGAAGCGCUUGCAACCAGACUUGCAGGUCGUUGAUCAUCCGGGGUUCUCCCCGGUGCACUCGGCGGCUUUCAGGCCAGCAUCGGUUUGAGUGGUGGGAUAAAGGCCUUGGGAAUGUGGCUCCUCUCGGGGAGUGUUAUAGCCCAAGGUGCAAUGCCGCCUAUUCGGACCGAGGACCGCGCUUCGGCUAGGAUGCUGGCGUAAUGGUUGUAAGCGACCCGUCUUGAAACACGGACCAAGGAGUCUAACAUCUAUGCGAGUGUUUGGGUGUCAAACCCAUACGCGUAAUUAACGUGAACGGAGGUAAGAACCCUUAAGGGUGCAUUAUCGACCGAUCCUGAUGUCUUCGGAUGGAUUUGAGUAAGAGCAUAGCUGUUGGGACCCGAAAGAUGGUGAACUAUGCCUGAAUAGGGUGAAGCCAGAGGAAACUCUG